AGAGUUUGAUCAUGGCUCAGGACGAACGCUGGCGGCGUGCUUAACACAUGCAAGUGGUGCGACGAACCAGGGCUUGCCCUGGGGCAAAGCCGCGAACGGGUGAGUAACACGUGAGUAACCUGCCCCGAUGACCGGGACAACCCGAGGAAACUCGGGCUAAUACCGGAUGUGGCGCACUGGCGUAAGCCGGUUCGCUAAAGGAAGCUUCGGCCUCCGCAUUGGGAGGGGCUCGCGGCCCAUUAGCUUGUUGGUGGGGUAACGGCCUACCAAGGCAACGAUGGGUAGCUGGUCUGAGAGGACGAUCAGCCACACUGGGACUGAGACACGGCCCAGACUCCUACGGGAGGCAGCAGUGGGGAAUCUUGCGCAAUGCGCGAAAGCGUGACGCAGCAACGCCGCGUGGGGGAAGACGGCCUUCGGGUUGUAAACCCCUUUCAGGAGGGACGAAGGUUCACCGGUGAAUAGCCGUGUGGAUUGACGGUACCUCCACAAGAAGCUCCGGCUAACUACGUGCCAGCAGCCGCGGUA
rnacentral:rRNA from 1 species